AUAAACCAUAUUUUGGUUUGAAGGCUUGAUUAAUUAUGAAACGAUUGGCAAUUGUGAAAAUCAGGAGAGUAAAUUUUUUUAAGAAAGAAUGAAGAAAUAGGAGAAGCGGCCAUGGCUGAAGGGAAGAAGAAAAGGAACAGGUACCAUUCGCUACUGCCGCCACAAGAACAACCAAAUGAAGAAGAAAAGGAACAGCUAAAGGAAGAAGGUGAUACUCCACAAAAUAAAGAGCAGCACCAUUUAACAUCACUACCACCGCCGCCAUCACCACCACCGCAAGAACAAAAACAGGAGAAGAAAACGAACAAACCCAUUUGAAAGAAGAAGAAAACGAACAACCACAAUUGAAAGAGGGAGAUGGGAAAGAAACUCACAAAGAAAGUGAUUGUGGAGGACAACAGGUAGAAAUUGAAGUAGGGGAAGUGAGUAAAUCUAAUCAACCAGAAAAAGAAAAUGAGAAAGUGGAAGAACUUGUACAAGAUGAUGAAGAAGGUCCGCCGCCUGGUUGGGAUGCGCUGCCGCCUCCUCCGCCACUGCCUCCGUCUCCUAAACCGGUUUCGUUUUCUGCUACUUCUAUUUUAUGCUUUUUAAAAAAAAAUUAAAGGGUAUUAUAGUAAAAACAAGAAUCUGGAACUGAAUUUGUACAAUGAAAAACACAAAAAUGCGGUGAGCGUGGAUCGAACACGCGACCUUCAGAUCUUCAGUCUGACGCUCUCCCAACUGAGCUAUCCCCGCUUGUUGUUGUUGUUGUUGGCUUUCUUCUUGUAAUUUAUGUGUUUUUUUUUGUUUAAUUUUGAUUAAUUCCAUAAUCGUGCAAACUGAUUAACAAUUAAAUAUUUCAUGCUGCUGGUAGAAUGAAAUAAUGACUAAAUAUACUUCUAUACUAAGCAUCGCAUUUUUUCUGAUUAAUUCAAUCAAUGCCUUCCUUAGUAGAUAGACAAAAAUUAUCAGGUGGGACGAUGCAGCAUUUGUAACAGUAAUCAUUGAUCAAUUUCACUGAAACCAAAGGUAGACCACGUAGAAACUGGAACAUCCCUAUGAAACCGGGAGAGUAUUAGAUUUCUUUGCAGCCAAAAUCAGGUUUGAAUAUCUGUCUUACAAAUAAAAAUACUAUCCACAUUUUCAUGAAUUGGUGAAAAUAAUAAACCAUACAAGUAACAGAAAUUGAGGUGGAGAUGGAGACUAAAGUUCACUUAGUAAUUUGGUAAAAAUGUUGAGAUAAUAUCAUAAUAGUAGUCCAUGUUUUAAAUUGCCCCUUAUUAUUUUAAAAUAUUGUCAUAUCAUCAAGCUAUGUUGAAGAUGUUCACACACUUGGUAAUUGGGUAGUACAAGAGACUUGGGUUUUGUACGUUCGGUUGCAUCAUUAUAAAGCGGCAAUGUGGACGAUGUUUACUAAACUUGGCAAUUUCUAUCCAUUUUGUACCCAAUUAGAAACUUGAAAUGAAUACUUACUGUUUUUAUUACAAGGAAAUAAGUCCUUUGUCAAAGUCUUGAGCCCUGACUACUUGUGAUGUCAGUUUAGUCCUAAGUUAAUAGGUAUCUGUAUUUGUGUGUCAGAUAGUUUGAGGAACUCAAGUAGUGUUUAGGUAGUAGCCUGGUUUAGACCCAUCAUACAAAUGUGACCAAAACUGGAUUUCAUACUGUAGGCACUUCUACAUCAUAAGUUCAUAACUGCAGUCAAAAUCAUUUGCAGCACUUUUCUGAUUCUGAAUUCCCGGUAUUAACUUCUAGCUAUGUUACAUCGUGUCAGUUGCAUACAAUAACAUUCAAAUACAUAAUGUUUACUAUUGCAUUUAUAUUGAAGUUAGUCUUUCUCCCUAUCUACAUUAAUUUGUGAGAAUCGGCACAAACUUAACUACCUAACAUGCAUUAUGGAAACCAAACUUUGAUCAUCUGAUGUUUGAUUCUCCAGACAGUGAUAUUGCUUCUUUAAAGCAUUACUCGUAGUUUGUAUUGCCCUCAAUAUAAGUUUUAUUAAUAACAUAUCAAUAUUCUUAAUAGUGAGAAACCAAACUUUGUAAUGCAGAAAGGGGGCAAAUGGUUUGCGGUUCCUGUCGCCAUCUCCUUUCUUAUCCCCGAGGAGCCAAGUAUGUCCAAUACUCAUGCUGCCAAAUAGUGAACUAUGUACUUGAAGACUCUAUACAAGAUAAAGUUUGGCCAAAUCUAUUUGAGUAAGCCGAUGAUGACAGAAUCAGAUGGUGAAGCAACAACUUUGUUUCCGAAAGCAGCUAGAUUGAGGAAACUGACAUACUUAGCUUCACUGUAUGUUGAUGUCAGAAAAUUAAAUGACAUGAUGGUGAUGAACUAACCUAAGCACACGAGGUUUUUAUUGGAAAGAUAAUCCCUUUGUUUUUAAUGUCUGUGUUUUUUUGAACUUUUUACUGUAGUAAUGAGAUUUAUGUGCUGGCUAUUUGGGUCUGUCUGAUCAGGUUCCCAUCACGCUUAAUUUGUUUAAGUUAUUGUACAUUGUAUCAGAAUUCAGAGAAGGAUAUAACAGAGCUUGGUGAGUGCCCUUAUGAUGAAGGUGGGUACUUCAUCAUCAACGGGAGUGAAAAGUUGCUUAUUUCUCACGAGAAGAUGAGCAUGAAUCACGUCUAUGUGUUUAAGACGAGGCUGCCAAAUAAGUUUGCAUACGUAGCAGAAGUUUGAUCUAUGGCAGAGUCCGAAAACAGGCAUCACAGUACCAUGUUGGCUUAUUGAGGGUACUUGAGUGUUUAUGAGGGUCAUUUGAUUUGAUUUGAUUUCUCCCUUGUUGGCUUGAUAGGUGGACAAUAUCAGUAAGGCCGUCCACAAAUGUGGGUAUCAGAUGCGUGGUUUCUAAACCAUGUGUAAUGGUCACACAGGACAAAUGCUCACUGCAAUGAACGUUGUGGGCUCGUUACCAUUACAAACCUUAAAAAGAAUUCUUUUGAAUAAGAUUGACAUUGUUCAGGUUCACAUUCUUUAUGUCUGUAAGCUGCUGUCUAUUGCAAUAGCGCGAAGAACAUUCAUAAAAAUAUGUUAAGAAGAUGGCCAAGGAUCAGAAAAAGAAGGGAGCAUAACACACCAAAUUUUGUCUUGUGAAAUUAUAUACUCCGUACUUUACUUCUGUAUCAUAAACUUCACAGUCUCGUUUUUUUGAUCAAAUAUUUUAUCUGUUGUUUGGACAAGUUGAUUUGAAAGUUUGAAUCCUUGAUCCAUCAUUUUUGUAAUAUGUGCCUGAGCUUAGGAUGCUAAUCCAUCUUCCUCGUCACUAGUGUAAUAGUGUAUUACUGAGUGUACUGUGAACUGCAGGUCUGCAUGCGUGUAGCUUUCUCGUUCAAUUUUAAGGAGUUGAUUCGUUAGUUGUGCUCUGAAA